rnacentral:rRNA from 1 species
GAUGAACGCUGGCGGCGUGCCUAACACAUGCAAGUCGAACGAACCUGAUCUUCGGAAAAGGUUAGUGGCGCACGGGUGAGUAACACGUAGGUGACCUGCCCUGGAGUGGGGGAUAACUUCUCGAAAGAGAGGCUAAUACCGCAUACGCUCGGCCAUUCAGUUGGUCGAGUAAAGCUCCGGCGCUCCAGGAGGGGCCUGCGUCCGAUUAGCUAGUUGGUGAGGUAAUGGCUCACCAAGGCGAUGAUCGGUAGCUGGUCUGCGAGGACGAUCAGCCACACUGGCACUGACACACGGGCCAGACUCCUACGGGAGGCAGCAGUGAGGAAUAUUGGUCAAUGGGCGAAAGCCUGAACCAGCAACGCCGCGUGAGGGAUGAAGGCCUUCGGGUCGUAAACCUCUUUUCUGGGAGAAGAGACAAGGACGGUAUCCCAGGAAUAAGUCUCGGCUAACUACGUGCCAGCAGCCGCCGUAAGAC